rnacentral:rRNA from 1 species
UACGUAGGGUGCAAGCGUUAAUCGGAAUUACUGGGCGUAAAGCGUGCGCAGGCGGUUCGUUAAGUCAGAUGUGAAAGCCCCGGGCUCAACCUGGGAACUGCAUUUGAAACUGGCGGGCUUGAGUAUGGCAGAGGGGGGUGGAAUUCCGCGUGUAGCAGUGAAAUGCGUAGAGAUGCGGAGGAACACCGAUGGCGAAGGCAGCCCCCCUGGGCCAAUACUGACGCUCAGGCACGAAAGCGUGGGGAGCAAACAGG